CUCCCGGCUGCCGGUGCCAGUUUGAACGGCUCACUCCUGUUUCCCAAUGAGUUCUGACUAAACGCCAUCAACCAUAUGACAGGGUCUAACAAAUAUCAGCACUCUGCCAGGUUCAAUAAACACCUUUUUCAGGGCUAAUUUGUUAAGUGCACUGCCUGUUCCUGCUAGCCCUGGAGACUCAGAGGUGAGUGAGACAGGGCCCUGUCCGACGAUGACAAAAGUGGACUGAGGAGAAUUAAUAGACAGGCCCUGGAGGACCGCGGCAUUCUGACAGGAUUUCUCUCUCAACCUUGUGAGGACUGGACGGCAUCAUCAUUUAUGUCUCAAACCUAAGGCACCUUCUCAGAGGGGUCCUCCUGACCCUUCUUAUCAGAAAUGAAGCCCUUGCCCACCAGCCCUCUGCUUUCCUUCUCAUCAAGAUCAAAGUAGCUGGACAUCAACUCCAACUUAUAAGAAGACAAAGAUCUUGACUCCUGUAUUGGCCCAGGGCUGGACUCAAUACGUUAAUAUGUAGACCAUAUUAAGAACCAUAAGACACCCAGGGAUGUGAAUGUCCUUAAUGCUACAGAAUUGUACACUUAAAAUGGUUAAAGUGCUAAAUUUGAUGUCAUGUAUGU